UGAUUGCAGAGGGACACUGUGACGGACUUUGGAUCGGCCUGAGGCAGGGGGACUCCAGAAGGUCAAGCCCUUCUUCCACCGCAGUCUGAAGAUGAGCCAUGCCAGAAGCCUGCAGUACAGCAACAGAAGUCCACUUUGAGUCUUUUCCCUCUCACAGACGGAUCUGCAUGGAGCCAUUCAGGACAAGGAGAGAGGUAUGAACUCCUCUUCCUCUUUUUGGGUGGAACUGCUAAGCCUCUCCAGUUUUCAACAGCUUCUUCAUCUAUUGGAUGGAUUUUUGUGACAGUGUCAGACUUCCCAGAGCAGGAAGCAUCCAUCUCUGGCCUUCCAUCUAUCCUGCAGGUUGUGAAAAAAUAUGCAUGUUGCCUUCAAUGAAGGACAGAUGUCGAGCAAUGAAUCGAUCCACUCGAAUAGGCAAGUGUUCAUGCUUGAUGUUUUUAAACUCGGCUUCGACAUUGGCUGAACUUCACUUGCAGUGAUUUUGGAGCUCCGGAAGUGAGGGAUUACUACCCUGAGAGAGGUCCGCACCCUCUACAUCUGGAAUGAUGACACCCUCUUCUGCAAUUCGGGCUUUUAGGUUUUUGAACAACAAAAAAAUGGCACUUGGAACGAAAGUUGUUUCACUUUGUGCGCAAACCAGCAGAAGGGGG
ensembl:lncRNA